rnacentral:rRNA from 1 species
GAAACAGGUGCUAAUACCGCAUAAUCAUAGUUACCGCAUGGUAACUAUGUAAAAGGUGGCUAUGCUACCGCUUUUGGAUGGGCCCGCGGCGCAUUAGCUAGUUGGUGGGGUAAAGGCUUACCAAGGCAAUGAUGCGUAGCCGAACUGAGAGGUUGAUCGGCCACAUUGGGACUGAGACACGGCCCAAACUCCUACGGGAGGCAGCAGUAGGGAAUCUUCCACAAUGGGCGAAAGCCUGAUGGAGCAACGCCGCGUGGGUGAAGAAGGUCUUCGGAUCGUAAAACCCUGUUGUUAGAGAAGAAAGUGCGUGAGAGUAACUGUUCACGUUUCGACGGUAUCUAACCAGAAAGCCACGGCUAACUACGUGCCAGCAGCCGCGGUAAUACGUAGGUGGCAAGCGUUAUCCGGAUUUAUUGGGCGUAAAGGGAACGCAGGCGGUCUUUUAAGUCUGAUGUGAAAGCCUUCGGCUUAACCGGAGUAGUGCAUUGGAAACUGGGAGACUUGAGUGCAGAAGAGGAGAGUGGAACUCCAUGUGUAGCGGUGAAAUGCGUAGAUAUAUGGAAGAACACCAGUGGCGAAAGCGGCUCUCUGGUCUGUAACUGACGCUGAGGUUCGAAAGCGUGGGUAGCAAACAGGAUUAGAUACCCUGGUAGUCC